AGUAACACGUGGAUAACCUACCUAUAAGACUGGGAUGACUUCGGGAAACCGGAGCUAAUACCGGAUAAUAUUUUGAACCGCAUGGUUCAAAAGUGAAAGACGGUCUUGCUGUCACUUAUAGAUGGAUCCGCGCUGCAUUAGCUAGUUGGUAAGGUAACGGCUUACCAAGGCAACGAUGCAUAGCCGACCUGAGAGGGUGAUCGGCCACACUGGAACUGAGACACGGUCCAG
rnacentral:rRNA from 1 species